AAAAAUCUGCCGAGUCACCGAUCCGGAAAAGCAAAUUUGUAAUUGUCAACCAUUUUGGGGACUUCUCCCACCGGGUUCGCUAACGGGACACAACCCAACGGAUGCGUUCGAUUGGGAGAGGACCCGGCGCCUGCUGCGGUCACUUUCGGCCGUGUUUGUUCCGGAUGGUGAGCUCGUCUCGCCUGGAGGCGAAAAUCGUUAGGGGCUAAUUUCACUAAGGAUUGUGCUUCUAGAUUACGCGAAUGUCUAUCCCAAUUACGAAGCAGUUGAUCCGGCACCGGCUACGGACAUUCCGAAUAAUUUCAAACAGUGUGGAUUGAAGCGGAAUAACAAAAGAAAACGACACGGAAAAAAA
rnacentral:lncRNA from 1 species